AUAUUUGUCUUUUAGAUUGCAUUUGGCUUUGUAUUUAAAAAAAGGAAUGCAACCUCUUUCUUUUACAAGAAGAAGUACAAGAUGUCUUCCCCAGGUUUUCAGAACAUGGUCACUCACAUCUUCAGUUCUAAAAACCAGAGCUGACUGCAAGAAUUAAGGAAAAGCAUUCCACCACCAUCCCUCAGUUUUCCCAGUUCUCAGCAGGGAGAGGUGCCCCUCUGAGCUCUCGUCUGAUUGUCUCCCAGUGAAGUCAAGGCCAGUCAUUUGCCCACCCAAAACUCAGCCCAAGCACCGCUCCUUGGAGGACCACCCAUGGAAAAAUAUAGCCUCUCUACAAUUCGACCAGGCCAAUGGGAUCAGCAAAAAUUCUGCAAGAAUUCUUCCUUGGAAAUCCAGGAAUUUGCUGUUCUGGUUCUUCUGGCUCUCGGCUCUUGCUCAACCUGCUGUAUUAUAUAGAGGAGGAAAAUUUUGGAAAAGUAUUUGGCUGUGAAUGACGUAAUCUACGCCUGCCUGAGUUCGAAGAGAGCCUGAAGAACAGUAUAAAUAACGAAGUCCUGUA